CCUACGGGUGGCAGCAGUGAGGAAUAUUGGUCAAUGGGCGCGAGCCUGAACCAGCCAAGUAGCGUGAAGGAUGACUGCCCUCCGGGUUGUAAACUUCUUUUAUAAAGGAAUAAAGUGAGGCACGUGUGCCUUUUUGUAUGUACUUUAUGAAUAAGGCUCGGCUAACUCCGUGCCAGCAGCCGCGGUAAUACGGAGGUGCCGAGCGUUAUCCGGAUUUAUUGGGUUUAAAGGGAGCGUAGAUGGGUUGUUAAGUCAGUUGUGAAAGUUUGCGGCUCAACCGUAAAAUUGCAAUUGAUACUGGCAGGCUUGAGUACAGUUGAGGUAGGCGGAAUUCGUGGUGUAGCGGUGAAAUGCUUAGAUAUCACGAAGAACUCCGAUUGCGAAGGCAGCUUACUAAGCUGCCACUGACAUUGAUGCUCGAAAGUGUGGGUAUCAAACAGGAUUAGAUACCCUAGUAGUC
rnacentral:rRNA from 1 species